AGGUGGUGCAUGGUUGUCGUCAGCUCGUGUCGUGAGAUGUUGGGUUAAGUCCCGCAACGAGCGCAACCCUCGACCUUAGUUGCCAGCAUUCAGUUGGGCACUCUAAGGUGACUGCCGGCUAAAAGUCGGAGGAAGUGGGAUGACGUCAAAUCAUCAUGCCCCUUAUGACCUGGGCUACACACGUGCUACAAUGGUUGGUACAACGAGUUGCGAGUCGGUGACGGCGAGCUAAUACUCUUAAAGCCAAUCUCAGUUCGGAUUGUAGGCUGCAACUCGCCUACAUGAAGUCGGAAUCGCUAGUAAUCGCGGAUCAGCACGCCGCGGUGAAUACGUUCCCGGGCCUU
rnacentral:rRNA from 1 species